UCUCCUGGAAACGGGUGGUAAUGCCGGAUGCUCCAUCACACUGCAUGGUGUGUUGGGAAAGCCUUUGCGGCAUGGGAUGGGGUCGCGUCCUAUCAGCUUGAUGGCGGGGUAACGGCCCACCAUGGCUUCGACGGGUAGCCGGCCUGAGAGGGCGACCGGCCACAUUGGGACUGAGAUACGGCCCAGACUCCUACGGGAGGCAGCAGUGGGGAAUAUUGCACAAUGGGCGCAAGCCUGAUGCAGCGACGCCGCGUGAGGGAUGGAGGCCUUCGGGUUGUAAACCUCUUUUGUUAGGGAGCAAGGCAUUUUGUGUUGAGUGUACCUUUCGAAUAAGCACCGGCUAACUACGUGCCAGCAGCCGCGGUAAUACGUAGGGUGCAAGCGUUAUCCGGAAUUAUUGGGCGUAAAGGGCUCGUAGGCGGUUCGUCGCGUCCGGUGUGAAAGUCCAUCGCUUAACGGUGGAUCCGCGCCGGGUACGGGCGGGCUUGAGUGCGGUAGGGGAGACUGGAAUUCCCGGUGUAACGGUGGAAUGUGUAGAUAUC
rnacentral:rRNA from 1 species